rnacentral:rRNA from 1 species
CAGUCGCCGCGGUAACACGGAGGGGGCUAGCGUUGUUCGGAAUUACUGGGCGUAAAGCGUACGUAGGCGGCUUUGUAAGUCAGGGGUGAAAUCCCAGAGCUCAACUCUGGAACUGCCUUUGAUACUGGGUAUCUUGAGUAUGGAAGAGGUUAGUGGAAUUGCGAGUGUAGAGGUGAAAUUCGUAGAUAUUCGCAGGAACACCAGUGGCGAAGGCGGCUAACUGGUCCAUAACUGACGCUGAGGUGCGAAAGCGUGGGGAGCAAACAGGAUUAGAUACCCCAGUAGUCCCUGUCUCUUAUAU